CCUGUGCAAAAAAAGGGAUUGCUCCCCCAACAUUUAACUGUGGUGUUUCUUUGUAAAGCUGAGUUCACUUUCUUUCUUAACCACAUCCAGACCUGAUCACUUCAUUACUGUCACAACUGUUCUCAAGAAAUCACUCAAACAGGAUGUGUCUGUCAAAGUGCAGCACCAAAUGAUCCUCAAAAGCCAGACGUGAUGCCGUGAUUAAAGGAAACUCAGAAACAAAUGAAAAAUCUAAUAAUGCUUUACAUUUACUUUUACUUGUGUACUUUUUGACACUUUACAGAAAACAGUUUAGUUUGUACAACUUUCCAGAAGUCUAUGAGUUCAGCAAAGCAUCUUCAGCAGAGAGUCAUUAUAUGUAAACUACUUGGGAAGGAUUUUUCUGCUUUCAUCAGUGUGGUACAGAAUCUUGUUAAUUCUGUGUUAUUACAAUGAAAAAAUAGCAUCAGAUGAUGGAGCAUGAUUUAUUUACACAGUUUAAAAAGAUCUAUUAAUAAUUUGUUUUAAACAGCUCUUUCUCAGCAGUUGUUCUUUCAGUGUCUCUCCUUCAGAAGACUCUCUCCUCUCCAGUCAGCUGCCAGCUGCAAGUUUCUACCCUGAGAGAGCCACGAUCUUCAGGAGGAAAGACGGAAGGACAUCCAUGAAUGUUGGUUGUUCUGGUUCUUCUCAUCUUCAUAGCUGCCACUGAAUUUGCUGUUUACAAAAAAGAAAAGUGAGAGAUUUAAAGGAGCUCCAAACAGCAUCCAUGAAAUCACAGAGAAACUGAUUCCAGAGAGACAAACACAGGACCCUACACACA